CACGAAGCGGUGGAUGAUGUGGAUUAAUUCGAUGCAACGCGAAAACCUUACCUACCCUUGACAUGUCUGGAACCUUGGUGAGAGCCGAGGGUGCCUUCGGGAGCCAGAACACAGGUGCUGCAUGGCUGUCGUCAGCUCGUGUCGUGAGAUGUUGGGUUAAGUCCCGCAACGAGCGCAACCCUUAUCAUUAGUUGCUACGCAAGGGCACUCUAAUGAGACUGCCGGUGACAAACCGGAGGAAGGUGGGGAUGACGUCAAGUCCUCAUGGCCCUUAUGGGUAGGGCUUCACACGUCAUACAAUGGUCGGUACAGAGGGUUGCCAAGCCGCGAGGUGGAGCCAAUCCCAGAAAGCCGAUCGUAGUCCGGAUUGUUCUCUGCAACUCGAGAGCAUGAAGUCGGAAUCGCUAGUAAUCGCGGAUCAGCAUGUCGCGGUGAAUACGUUCCCGGGUCUU
rnacentral:rRNA from 1 species